rnacentral:lncRNA from 1 species
CAAAAACCAAAACAAACCCUUGCCUAUAUUUUUAAUUACUGAGUCCCUGUCCUAGAGAAUCACAAUUUAAGACAUGGAUAUUUGAUCUUGUUUCAGUUACUUAUUCCCUGGCUUCACAAUCUCCUCAAAAGAUCUGAGAUAUGUCAGGCACUUCGAAGUGCACAUAUUACUUUGAUAAUCCUUGUAACACAAGUUUUAUUAUUUCCAUUUAAAUAGUUGAGAAAACAGAGGUCCAGAAAGUAGAACUGCCUAAGAUGCAAGUCUCACUGUUGAGUUUUCUGAUUUCAAGCUAGCAUAACUUCUACUCUAUCACAGCUAUCGUAAUAAAUUUGGAACAGACUCAUUAUAUGCUUUAGGACUCCUGAUUCUUGGAUCUCUAUUUUACUUUCCUAGGUAAGUUUUAUAUUACAGAUAUUUAAUAUAUUUGGCUAAAUUAUGAAUUACUUAAAGAUAGAGGCUGUGUCUUCAAUGUUAAUCCCUCUCAUGUCCUAGCACGACAUUAUUGCUAAAUUGAAGUGUGGUUUUGGGCUGAGAAUUUGCCCUAGUCUAGAUUCAAUAUUGGAAGACAUUAUGUAUCAAGUAAUUAAAAGUGUGAUUUUGAGGAUCAAACUUGGGUUCAUGUAUUGCUCUCUUACUAACAGUGUAACACAGAGCAAGCAUUGUAUUUAAUCUCUCUGAAUUUCAAUUUUCCCAUCUGUACAAUUUAAUAAUUAUAUACAUCUCAUAUGGUUGCUAUAGAGAGUAAACAAGAUAAUGUACAUGAAGUAGCCUAGUGAGGCUACUCAUGACCACUGUUUUACUAUUAUUUCUGAGGAUAGUUCUAGAGACCAACAAGAGACACCUUUCUGAAUUCAUUCUAUGUGGACUGGACCAUGCCCAGGGAUUUUCAAGGGUGGCAAUAAGACCAUACUGGGUGAAUUACUUGGUAUGCCCUCAUGGCUUUAAUAAAAGCAGUCAAGUGUAUUCCAGUCUUGCACCAAUCUGGAACUAACUCUUAUGAUAGUCUUCUUGUACUCAAGAGGCUGAAAAGAUGUAAGGGACUGUUACUCCAACACUGAAGAUUUUAAAAAGCUAUCCAUGUAUUUCCAACAGUCAGUGAAGGUUAUUAUAUCUAGAGAGGCAGUUUGAUUUUCCAUUUUAUGCUGAUUUGUUAUAUAAAAUAAUUAUAUAAAUUUAUUUUCAUUCAAACCAGUUCACUAAAAGUGUGUGUGUGUGUGUGUGUGUGUGUAUUUAAAGUUAUUUUUGGAUAUGAAUAUUGGUGGGGAAAUAAUACUUGAUUUCAGUUUAGAGUUUAACAAACUCAGAAGUUGAUUUUAGAUUGUAAUUCAUGGUUCAGAUAAAGUUUUUACUACCUCAGUAUUCCAAAUACCAGAUUCUGACAAAACAUUUGGUCACUGAGUCAUUCAGAUCUUUCCUCUGCUGAUGCGAUAAACAGUGGCCAGCAAAGAAAACCUCCGCUCGCUUACAUCUAUUUUUAGGUGUCCUUUAGAUUAUGAAUGUUUGCCUGUAUGCGAAUAUUACAUGUCUUCUGUCCAUUUAUACAAUUUUUUUGCUUCAUAUAACUUCUUUAAUAUUUUCUUUUUAAUUUUUAUGGAUUUGGAUUAUUUUUAAUCUUCAUAUCCAUUGGCACUCUUUACAAAGAAUGAAAAUACAAAUUUAAAAAGCCUAAUUAUAGUCUUUCUAAUUACAGAAAAAAAACAUUCAUUAGAAGAAAUACUGACUGCUAGAAAGGAAGGAAAUUUAGAAAUAAACUAAACUUUUCCUUUCAUAAGAUGGAAAAAACUGAAGCCAAAUUUGGUGGUAACUUGUUCAGGGUCUUUAGGUGGAAUGAUAAAGGGAAUACUAGAACUUCUGACAACUGAAUUCUGCCUCCUGAACCCCCGCCACUACUCAAGUGGCCCAAAAAGUGCAGUUAUUUCUUAUUUUGGACUUCUCAUUUUUCAUAUUAACAGUAGUUCAUAAGCAUUUAAAGAUGUAUUAUUUGCCAUUUACAGAGUAAACAUGGAUAAGGAAAGAUAGCUUUAUUUUUAAAAG